rnacentral:tRNA from 1 species
UCUAAUAUGGCAGAUAAGUGUAAUGAAUUUAAGCUUCAUAUAUAAAGAUUAAUUCUUUUAUUAGAA